rnacentral:lncRNA from 1 species
GUGAACCUCUAAUCCGAAGGAGUAGUUUCUCCGAUCGGAAAUUUAGUGUCACAUCCAGAGGUUCAAUAGAUGAUGUUUUUAACUGCAACCUGUCACCCAGAUCAUCAGUUACAGAACCACUUUUGGCAGAAUUCUCAUUUCCAAGUGUUCUGGAAUCUGAAGAGACAUCCAGCCAAUCUCUCUGACUGGUCUGAACAUUCUGGGUGUUGUCCCAUCGAGGUCUGUGGCAGACAGUGCGUUGAAGGGGGAAGAGGAAACGGGGUGGACGUGUCCAUCCCGUUGCCAGCCUCUGGCCCUCCAAGGUUCUAUAGAGGACACUUUUUCCCAUUUCCCUAGGCACGGUGCCCUGGCAGGCCCAGUGGCUUCCAUCAGGGGUAUGAUGAUGGGAUGGAAGGACUUUGUCUCUAUGGUUUAGGGUGUCAUUGACAUUGAACACUUCUCUGAAGAAUCGGAGGAAUUCUCAGGGGCAAGCACCCAUGAACUUUGCUUAGUACCCUGGCACUCUGGAGACCUUCACGGCAACCUCUGCGAGAGUCACCUGACUGGAAUGUUCACCCGUGAUACUCCCUGGACCCCAGAAUGGUCCUUCCUCUGCCACCAGCAGCCCCAGCAAGCCUCGGGGUUAAGCUUUUCUCUUGCAAAUGUGUUAGGUAAAGCCAGUACCAAUAUCUCUCUGGGAAACAAGUCUGAUGUCCAUUCUGCCAGUGGGAUGAACAUUCAAGAUACUGGCUGCUGAGGAGGCCUCCCUGAAACAUAAAGCCAGGCAGUGUGCCAAUCAACCAGUGACAAGAGAGGCCCUCCUCCCUGCAGCUAACCUGGACCAGUUGGUGUUUGAAAUGUGCUUUAGCAAUCUUAACAUGAGAAGAAAAGCCUGGGGGAACUAAGCCAUUACCACCACGGGAUACUGAACAUCGGGGUGCUCUUCCCCCCGCCCCCCCACAACUCCAGCAGCAUUGACUGAAGGGGAAGGAAAUUAUCCAAUCUACAUAUUUUUGUUUGCAUGAGUGGCUGGACAUGGUGUCUGUAAUUCUAGCACUCGGGGGUGAAGGCAGUAGAAUGAGGAGUUCAAGACCAUCCUUGUCUACAUAGGGAGUUCAAGGCCGACUUGUUAGAUGAAUACAGAAGACUGAUAAAACAAGCCCACAUCAUAGCACAUGUGAAUUCCCACGUAGAUGCAUAAGAAGGCAGAUUUAUGGACCCCUUGUAGCAUCUUUUCCAAACUUUAAGAAAAAUAUUCCCAUCCCACAUGUUUCGAUGGCGACGUUGAUGGCCUGCCAUUUGUACCCGAAAUAUUAUCUAAUACAUAUGCACAAUUAAAACUUUCCUUAGCAUUCAACUUGUAA